CUCGGCAACGGAUAUCUCGGCUCUCGCAUCGAUGAAGAACGUAGCGAAAUGCGAUACUUGGUGUGAAUUGCAGAAUCCCGUGAACCAUCGAGUCUUUGAACGCAAGUUGCGCCCGAAGCCAUUAGGUCGAGGGCACGCCUGCCUGGGCGUCACGCAUCU
rnacentral:rRNA from 1 species